UCAUUGCAUGGGACAAAGAGGGAGAGAAAAGCCAUGCGCAAUCCUCUUCUUCUCACGAUUGCGGCUGAACAUAGACGCGAUCAUGUGCAGCUAGACCGAAGAAGUCCCACGAAAUCACAAGUCGGCGAGAUUAAUUUAUUUAGAUCGAGUAUUGUCUAAUGGGCUCAAAUUCGAGACAUAUUUUAACACUUAUUCUAAACAAAUGCCAAGUCAAUACUGCUCUGGAUAACGUUGAGAGAGAGAGAAUCCUUUAAAUAUUAUCAAGUGGCCCACUCGCCCCACAGAGAAGAAGUGGAAGAUGGCGGCGAGGUGACCAAGCAGUGGACAAAGCAGGAAAGCUUCCAAAUCUGUAAAUGAAUCCUCAAUUUGCUCCUUUUGUCAUCUUUCUCUUAUUUAAUUACAGAAACAAGUUUUACUUUGUCUUCUUAGACUCUCUGAUCUUUACUUUGUCUUAUUAAGUCACUCUAUUGUUCCUUGUGGGGUACUCCUCACUUGUGCCUUAUCUUUUUUACUGGGUGCAAUCCAGUCUCCUCUAUUUAAACUUGCACUUCUCGAAUGGCUUUCCCGUGCAGAGCAACUGGCGAGGCAUACUGCAUUUUCUGAUCAAUGAUUGUUGUGUUAACACGACAUGGAGGGCCAAUGUGCAAUCAAGAGAGAUGUCACUGAGUUAAUAGGCAAUACUCCUAUGGUUUAUCUCAAUAAUGUUGUGGAAGGCUGUGUAGCUCGCAUCGCUGCAAAGCUUGAGAACAUGGAGCCUUGUUCUAGUGUUAAAGACAGGACUGCACUUAGCAUGAUCGAAGAUGCUGAGGAAAAAGGCCUGAUAACUCCCGGAAAGACUGUCCUUAUCGAAAUCACCGGUGGUAACACUGGCAUCGGUUUGGCUUUUAUUGCUGCCAUUAAGGGCUACAAACUUGUCCUUGUCAUGCCCGCUUCAUAUAGUCUUGAGAGAAGAAUUGUGAUGCGAGCUUUUGGAGCUGAGGUAUUCCUCACGGAUCCUGCCAAGGGGUUAGAUGGUGACCUUCAAAAGGCCGAGGAGAUCCGGGACAGGACACCGAAUAGUCACAUGCUCCUGCAGUUUGAGAAUCCAGCGAACCCAAAGAUUCAUUAUGAAACUACUGGCCCAGAAAUAUGGAAGGACUCAGGAGGAAAGGUGAAUGCGUUCGUUUCAGGAAUAGGGACAGGAGGAACUCUAACUGGCGUGGGCAAAUUCCUUAAGGAAAAAAACCCAGAGAUCAAGGUGUAUGGAGUCGAGCCAGUUGAAAGUGCAGUCCUGGAUGGCGGAAAUCCAGUUGAUAUCUGAAACAUACAACAGGCAAGCACUUGAUACAAGGAAUUGGCGCUGGUUUCAUCCCACCAGUUUUGGACGUCGGCUUGCUUGACGAGGUCCUCCAAAUAUCAAGUGAGGAAGCU